UGGCUUGUCUCAGGAGUCUCUCAGUGACCUGAGCAGCAGCUACAGCUCUGCUGGCCUCUGUGUUCACCUGCAGGAGACGUGGAGACCCGCGCUCACCUUCUGCAGCACUUAGACACAGUUGCAGUGAGGGAAGGAGGUUUCCUCUGCUGGUCUCAGACAGCAGCAGAAACAUCAGCCUCCCUGUCAGUGGAGAUCAGUUCUUAUGUGCUGUUGGCCAAACUCAGCGCCUCCCCGACUGCUGAGGAUCUGGGAUAUGCCUCUGGUAUUAUCAGGUGGCUGACUGGGCAGCAGAACUAUGACGGAGGCUUCUCCUCCACUCAGAACAGCCUUCUGUGCACCAACUACACGUAACAGCCUGUAAAUAACAGCUCAGCUGCAGUCUGACACAGUGGAGGCU